UAAAGCAGCCAUACCACCUGUAGUUCAGAUGAGGUAACCCAAGCUAACCAGGUUUGGGUCUGGCCAAUACCUUGAUGGGAGACCAACUAGGAAAGCUGGAUAGCUGCUGGAA
rnacentral:rRNA from 1 species